rnacentral:lncRNA from 1 species
GAACGGCGUAGUCAAAGAAUCAAACAAGCCUACCCUACCCGCACUUAAGUCAACUUUCCUCGCAGUGCUUACCUUGCCUACCUAUCAUUGUGCACCCUUUCUUAUCAAAGAAUAGCUCUCAUACAGGGAGUUAUCUUUCUCUCCUCUGCGUCUGAAGUAGUCGCUUGUCCCGUUGCUUGUCCGGUAACAACUUCAACUAAUACAUUAUAAGAGUGUGUUCUUGUUCUGGCGGUAGUAGCUUGGCGGUAUUUCAUUCCACUCUCAACUCCUAUUGAACUCCUAACUCAGGUACCUGUAUUUAUUAUAUUCCACUCCUAAAUAGGUAAGUAAUAAGAAUAGGGCCAGAAUAAAGAACUUGCUAGCGCAUUCAAGGUUUCAUUCUUACCCUCUUCAACUCAAUUAUGAAAGGAAGGAGCACCAGGUAAAUAAACCAGUAAAUACACAACCCUUGCCCAAUACGGAAUUUUCUCUAUCUUGCGUAUGGUAAGGAACAAAAGCAAAAGGUCAAAGGGCAUAGAUUUAGAUAAGAUUACCC